AGUGAACGCUGGCGGUAGGCCUAACACAUGCAAGUCGAACGGCAGCACAGUAAGAGCUUGCUCUUACGGGUGGCGAGUGGCGGACGGGUGAGGAAUACAUCGGAAUCUACUUUUUCGUGGGGGAUAACGUAGGGAAACUUACGCUAAUACCGCAUACGACCUACGGGUGAAAGCAGGGGAUCUUCGGACCUUGCGCGAUUGAAUGAGCCGAUGUCGGAUUAGCUAGUUGGCGGGGUAAAGGCCCACCAAGGCGACGAUCCGUAGCUGGUCUGAGAGGAUGAAGGACCCAAGUGGAAGUGAGAACCGGUCCAGCCCCCGACGGGGGGCAGAAGUGGGGAAUAUUGGAAAGUGGGCGCAAGCCUGAUCCAGCAAUACCGCGGGGGGGAAAAAGGCCUUGGGGUAGUAAACCUGUUUUGUGGGGAAAAAAAAGCAGGAGUUUAAUCCCCCGCUGUUCUGACGGUCCCAAAAAAAAAAGCCCCGGCAAAUUUCGUC
rnacentral:rRNA from 1 species